CUGACUUAUGAAACCCAAAAUAUUUGCUGC
rnacentral:piRNA from 1 species